GUUUAAUUUAAAGUUUAAAUNNNCCACUGAUUAAUUAUUAAAGGGCUGCAGUAAUUUGACUGUACAAAGGUAGCAUAAUCAUUAGUCUUUUAAUUGAAGACUUGUAUGAAGGAUUUGAUAAAAUAUGAACUGUCUCUAAGUUAUAAUUAAAAUUUAAUUUUUUAGUUAAAAAGCUAAAAUAAAUUUAAAAGACGAGAAGACCCUAUAGAGUUUUAUAAUUUUUAAUUUAUAAUAUUUAUAUAAAAUUUUAAUGUUAUAAAUAAUAAAUUAUUUUAUUGGGGUGAUAAAAAAAUUUAUAAAACUUUUUUUUUUCAAUAUCAUUGAUAAGUGAAUAUAUGAUCCUAAAUUAAGAUUAAAAGAAAAAAUUACCUUAGGGAUAACAGCGUAAUUUUUUUUUUUAGUACAAAUAAAAAAAAAAGUUUGCGACCUCGAUGUUGGAUUAAGAUAAAAUUUAAAUGCAAAAGUUUAAAAUUUUGAUCUGUUCNAUCAUUAAAAUCUUACA
rnacentral:rRNA from 1 species